GGUCCUGUAGCUCAGUUGGUAGAGCAUCGGAUUGAAAAUCCGUGUGUCGGUGGUUCGAGUCCACCCGGGACCACCA
rnacentral:tRNA from 1 species